AUGGGCAGAGACCGCAACAUACCGAUACUAAAAGUGAACACAAGUGGCCUGGUAACUUAUUUCUGGACAAGUCACUUGGAGAGACUAGUUCGAACAAAAGCAGUGACGAGGAUCAGUCUUUGGAAGGCCAAAACCCAGUUCUAUCUACCUCUUACGAUGAAAGCAAGGUUUCACAGAGGCAAUCAAAUGGCUCCGAAGAUAUGAAGGACAAGGACUCAUAUAAUUUCUACCAGGGAAUAUCACCGACGAAACAUAAUGGAUCUGUAAAUCUUCCCUUUUUAUUGGAUUUUUCAUACUUUCAUCAGGCAAAUCUCUGUAAAACUGAAUAAGUGUCCCUUAUAAGAUGUUGCUGAUGAGUCUUAUUAAGCAUGCAUUAUGUUGUUUAUAAAGCUGAAGACAGAAGCAUGUGCAAUGCUCAUUAAAAGUUGCUUCUUUACUUUUAAAAAUUCUGUUAUGCUGCGAUUAUAAUUGAUGUUGUUUCUGUCUCCAAUCCAAAUGCUACAUAUCAAAACGUUUACUGAUAAUGUUAAAGAUUUAGAGAAGCAAGAGAGGGACAGUGGACCAGAAUCCACUCUUUUUCUUGGGUUGUUCUUGUGUGUUUAAGAUUUUUCCAGCAACCAAGGAAAAUUUUGUUUUACUUUCAUUUCUCUUUUUAGAUGGAAGGUGUUGAAGAACUUUCAAUUCAGGCCAAAUCUUUCAAGGUCUCUGUUGAAGGAAGAGGUAGUCUCUUUAGGCUUAGCAUCAUUGAAUUCACUAGAGGAAAGAGAUUCAGAAUUCUCUUAGGUAUAGAGGGAGUGCAGUGGUUGUUAACCAAUGCCCGAAUUUUGAGAAACCAGCAGACUGUACAUAGUCCAAGGGGGAGGAAAAUAAGCACUUCCUGAUGGCAGGAAGGAGAAAUCUCAGGGUCAUUUUUUGGGUAAUAACAGAAUAGUUUUAUCUCUCUAGGUGAUGAGAAUGUUGGUUGGAGGAGAUUGGGUCUGGUUGUUGAGAGUCUAUCCUCCUUUGUUAUGAAAAUGUCCAUAAAAAACACCAAA